GUGCUCGCUUCGGCAGCAUAUAUACUAAAAUUGGAACGAUACAGAGAAGAUUAGCAUGGCCCCUGCGCAAGGAAAAAAACUAAAAACAAAGAACAACAAAAUGUACAA